rnacentral:lncRNA from 1 species
GCGCACAAACAAAUAUUUGUAUUUUGAUGAUUUUGGGUUACAAUCUCUCUCAAAUUUGAUCCUCUGAUUCGAUCUCCGUAAGGUGUUGAUUGGUGGGUGUUUCGUUGAUCCAAGGGCCGUCGAGGCUUAAUCUUGGAUGAACAGUUGGAAGUUUCUUCAAAGGGCCGUGGGCUUGAUCUUUGAAGGUGGAUUUGAGCGGAUCUUCAAGGGCUUUUGGGCUUGAUCUUUGAAGAACAGUGAUGAACGGAUCUCCAAGGGCUUUUGGGCUUGAUCUUGAAGAACAGUGAUGAACGGAUCUUCAAGGGCUUUUGGGCUUGAUCUUGAAGAACGGUUGGGAUGUGUGGAUUUGUCGACGUUGUUGAUCCAAAGGGCCGUUGGGGCUUGAUCUUGGAUGAACGGAUGAUGAACGAUGGUGCUUUCUUCAAGGGCCGUCGGGGCUUGAUCUUGAAUUGGUGGAUGAUUGUUGAUCCAAAGGGCCGUUGGGGCUUGAUCUUGGAAGAACGAUGAACGAAGAACGAAGAACGCUUUCUUCAAGGGCCG